rnacentral:rRNA from 1 species
UACGUAGGGGGCGAGCGUUGUCCGGAUUUAUUGGGCGUAAAGAGCUCGUAGGCGGUUUGGUAAGUUGGAUGUGAAAUCUCCAGGCUCAACUUGGAGGGGUCAUUCGAUACUGCCAUGACUAGAGUUCGGUAGGGGAGUGUGGAAUUCCUGGUGUAGCAGUGAAAUGCGUAGAUAUCAGGAGGAACACCGAUGGCGAAGGCAGGUCUCUGGGCUGACACUGACGCUCAUGCACGAAAGCGUGGGGAGCAAACAGG